rnacentral:rRNA from 1 species
GACGAACGCUGGCGGCGUGCUUAACACAUGCAAGUCGAACGGAAAGGCCCUGCUUUUGUGGGGUGCUCGAGUGGCGAACGGGUGAGUAACACGUGAGUAACCUGCCCUUGACUUUGGGAUAACUUCAGGAAACUGGGGCUAAUACCGGAUAGGAGCUCCUGCUGCAUGGUGGGGGUUGGAAAGUUUCGGCGGUUGGGGAUGGACUCGCGGCUUAUCAGCUUGUUGGUGGGGUAGUGGCUUACCAAGGCUUUGACGGGUAGCCGGCCUGAGAGGGUGACCGGCCACAUUGGGCCUGGGUUCCGGCCAGACUCCUACGGGAGGCAGCAGUGGGGAAUAUUGCACAAUGGGCGGAAGCCUGAUGCAGCAACGCCGCGUGCGGGAUGACGGCCUUCGGGUUGUAAACCGCUUUCGCCUGUGACGAAGCGUGAGUGACGGUAAUGGGUAAAGAAGCACCGGCUAACUACGUG